rnacentral:rRNA from 1 species
GACGUAGGUGGCGAACGUUAUCCGGAAUUAUUGGGCGUAAAGGAUGCGUAGAUGGUGUAGUAAGUUAUCGGUGGCAAAUCGAGGCUCAACCUCGUGGAAGUCGGUAAUACUGCUAUGCUAGAGGAUAGGAGAGGUUAACGGAACUCCCUGUGGAGCGGUGAAAUGCGUAGAUAUAGGGAAGAACACCAAUCAGGCGAAGGCAGUUAACUAUUCUAUUCCUGACAUUUGAGGCAUGAAAGCGUGGGGGAGCAAAAACGG